rnacentral:rRNA from 1 species
CGAAAGCCUGACCGAGCGACGCCGCGUGCGGGAUGAAGGCCUUCGGGUUGUAAACCGCUGUCAGAGGGGAGGAAAUCUGUGGGGGUUCUCCCCCGCAGUUGACCUAGCCUCAGAGGAAGGACGGGCUAAGUUCGUGCCAGCAGCCGCGGUAAGACGAACCGUCCAAACGUUAUUCGGAAUCAUUGGGCUUAAAGGGUGCGUAGGCGGUGCGGUAAGUUGGGUGUGAAAUCCCCCGGCUCAACCGGGGAAUGGCGCCCAAAACUGUCGCACUCGAGGGAGACAGGGGUAAGCGGAACUGAUGGUGGAGCGGUGAAAUGCGUUGAUAUCAUCAGGAACACCAGUGGCGAAAGCGGCUUACUGGGUCUUUUCUGACGCUGAGGCACGAAAGCUAGGGGAGCAGACGGGAUUAGAUACCCCGGUAGUCCUAGCUGUAAACGAUGAGCACUUGGUCGGAGACUCCUCCAUAGGUUUCCGGCCGGAGCGUAAGUGUUAAGUGCUCCGCCUGGGGAGUAUGGUCGCAAGGCUG